rnacentral:rRNA from 1 species
UUUCCCGUAAGGCGCCGAAUGAGUCAUUAAAAAAUUAACAUCAUCCGAUCCCUAGUCGGCAUAGUUUAUGGUUAAGACUACGACGGUAUCUGAUCGUCUUCGAUCCCCUAACUUUCGUUCUUGAUUAAUGAAAACAUCCUUGGCAAAUGCUUUCGCAGUAGUUAGUCUUCAAUAAAUCCAAGAAUUUCACCUCUGGCAAUUGAAUACUAAUGCCCCCAACUAUCCCUAUUAAUCAUUACGUCGAUCCUAGAAACCAACAAAAUAAAAUCAAACGUCCUAUUUCGUUAUUCCAUGCUAAUGUAUCCAAGCGUGAGCCUGCUUUAAACACUCUAAUUUUUUCAGAGUAACAGUCCUGAUUCCCCAAAACACCAAAUUAAUGGCAUUAAGAUUCGUCAGAAAGGAGAAACCAAUAAUACCAGUACGUACAAAAGCACGACCAGUAAACCGGUCUCGAAAUUCAACUACGAGCUUUUUAACUGCAACAACUUUAAUAUACGCUAUUGGAGCUGGAAUUACCGCGGCUGCGGGCACCAGACUUGCCCUCCAA